rnacentral:rRNA from 1 species
GACGAACGCUGGCGGCGCGCCUAACACAUGCAAGUCGAACGGAGCUGAGAGAAGCUUGCUUUUCUUAGCUUAGUGGCGCACGGGUGAGUAACGCGUGAGUAACCUGCCCUGGAGUGGGGGACAACAGUUGGAAACGACUGCUAAUACCGCAUAAGCCCACGAUCCGGCAUCGGAUUGAGGGAAAAGGAUUUAUUCGCUUCAGGAUGGACUCGCGUCCAAUUAGCUAGUUGGUGAGGUAACGGCCCACCAAGGCGACGAUUGGUAGCCGGACUGAGAGGUUGCACGGCCACAUUGGGACUGAGACACGGCCCAGACUCCUACGGGAGGCAGCAGUGGGGGAUAUUGCACAAUGGGGGAAAGCCUGAUGCAGCGACGCCGGGUGGAGGAAGAAGGUUUUCGGAUUGUAAACUCCUGUCGUUAGGGACGAUAAUGACGGUACCUAACAAGAAAGCACCGGCUAACUACGUG